rnacentral:rRNA from 1 species
GAUGAACGCUGGCGGCGUGCCUAAUACAUGCAAGUCGAGCGAACGGACGAGGAGCUUGCUUCUCUGAUGUUAGCGGCGGACGGGUGAGUAACACGUGGAUAACCUACCUAUAAGACUGGGAUAACUUCGGGAAACCGUAGCUAAUACCGGAUAAUAUUUUGAACCGCAUGGUUCAAAAGUGAAAGACGGUUUUGCUGUCACUUAUAGAUGGAUCCGCGCUGCAUUAGCUAGUUGGUAAGGUAACGGCUUACCAAGGCAACGAUGCAUAGCCGACCUGAGAGGGUCAUGGGCAACACUGGAACUGAGACACGGUGCAGACUCCUACGGGAGGCAGCAGUAGGGAAUCUUCCGCAAUGGGCGAAAGCCUGACGGAGCAACGCCGCGUGAGUGAUGAAGGUCUUCGGAUCGUAAAACUCUGUUAUUAGGGAAGAACAAAUGUGUAAGUAACUAUGCACGUCUUGACGGUACCUAAUCAGAAAGCCACGGCUAACUACGUG